UUUAGUAAUGUAUUUAUGUGAAAGAAUCAAUCACGGUCAAGCUGAGAAAAAAAUCAUGAUCCAAUUUGAAAAGAAUCAAUCACGAUCCAUAAAUCACACGCACCAGAGAAAAAAAAAAUCUGACGAAGAAGGUUGCCCUUGAUCUACUAUUCGAUACAACGACCGGAACCACGCCACAGCAGCCAUCGCGGAUCUCUUCGCCGAUCCAUCCCACCCCACCUGCUUCCUUCCUGAUCCCGACCUCCCGAACCCUACCUCGACGCCAACCGCGCCCCCGCCUCCUUCGACCCACCACUCCGUUCCAUUGAUCCACUCCGCGACGGCCAGUUCUCGCGGCAGUCGCCGCCCGCUCUUCUCCUCCUGGUCCACCUCCCCACCAAGCUCUCUCUCCUAGAUCAUGAGAUGAUAGCGGAGGCACAUAGGUUUCGGCUUCUCCACUAAUGGCGAUAUCAAGGGCUGGUGGAGGCCGGCCAUCAUGGACACGUCUCUCGCCCUCGCACGUAACGAAAAAAAUCAGCCAACAUGCCUCCCCUCGAUCCGUUUCCAACGCGGAUAGUCAAAGACGCCCCAGCCGCCAUAGCGGAGUCCUUCACUGACACCGAGGUCCGACAGGAGCCGCCGCCCUCAUCCCUCUCUUUUCACACUCGCCUAUUUAGCUGGUCGUUGCCUCUCAGCGGCGACUACCCUAGCGGCGGUUGCGGGAAAGAUGGAUCCUUAUCCUCCCGAAAAUAGACUCGGCGCCCUCGUGAUUUGUGGCGGCGGCUGCGACACUCCCUUCCCACGCCGCCGAAGAGGCCCCCAGGGCGGCCGACGACGCCUUUAGCGCGCGGCCUUCCGGAGACACAGCAAGUCUGGCCUACGGUGGGGUGGCGGCAUGCGCAGCAUGGUCGUCGUUUGAUUCAGGAGCGACCUCCGGCUGCUGAACAACCAGUCACUGGAGCACGCGUGGAUGGCCUCUGGCACUGUCCUCACCAAUGGAGGAGCCUCGCCUACGCUGCAGUGCUGCAGGGCGGUGGUCGGGGUGGUCCGCACCGGCGCCUACAAUGUGUGCCUCAUCCUAACUGGCAAAGUGAUCUUCAGCCUCCCCAUCAACUACACCCUCGGCAUCUCCCUUCCGAGGAUCUGCAAGUCACUCCCCGUCCCGCUCGUUUGUAGAGAUACAGCGACGCAGAUCCUAGCUCCAGAUAUCUUAAAUUCUCCUUUGUUGACCUUGCCUUGACAUCGCCUCGAUGUCUCGCAAUUCUUCCGCACUGUUGCCACCGGAUUCGUCGGUUGAUGAGAAGGCGUUGUUGCCGUGAGUGGAAUCGACGCCGAUCAUGCAGGGGCAGAGAUAGGUGGUGGUACCCAUCAUGCGUUGGUAGAUAUGUUUUUGCAAGUCUGUGUUACACUUAGUAUUGUGUGCGUAUGUAUGUAGUUAGACAAGUAAAUAUGUUUCAUGGAGGAAAGAGUGCAGCUCUGUGAAGAGUUCAUGAAUACUUCUGAAAGAAUGAUCAGCUGGCAGUCUAUAAAAGGUAUAGAAAUAGCAUGCUUGGUCCAAAGUACAACAGUUUGUUGGCUUGCUUCGGACAGUCUUUCGCCGUGCUAUAUUUGUGAAGAGGUAAUAUUUUGUAUUGUCUACACACAUUACUAGCUGGCCUGUGCUAAAUGUUCGGUCAUUAUGCAGGUAAUGACAUAUGAGAAGCAAAGAGGAUCAAAUGAUUCCACAUACUGGGUAUUAUUUGAACUGAUAUGGGGGGCUACUUCAGAUUCCUUUUCAGCAAAAUAUGGGAACUCCAUUUUCUUGCAAGGGUAACCAUAGCAUCUACAUUGCUUUAUGCCUGAAACUGAGAGCUUUGGAACAGUGCUAUGCGCUAUUGGACAAAUAGAUACAGAGAUACCUAUCAGUGGUGGUCAGCAGCAAAUACGAGAAAUGUUAGAUACAUCCACACUCUUUCUUGAUCUAUGGACUCAACUCCGCUGGCCUCGUCAUCCUUUCCGUCACUGUGGUCGUCCAUGUCGAAGGGCUUGCGCCGAGGGAAGCACCAUGGAUCCAUUGGACCCCACACCUGCGUCGACCGAUGCUUUGUCUAUCAGUAAGCAAGAAAUGCAAGCAUCCUUCUAAAUAAGAUAUUAGCUAUCUUGAGGCUGAAAUGCAUCCUUCUAAGUAAGAUAUUAGCAAUCAACAAAAAAUGACAACAAUUUUAUUGAAAACUAAAAACAACCUUGCAAUAUUGAUACAAGGAAACAGAAAAAGAGGCGAAAGCAUCACAUGAUAUAUAUCAUUGCGUAUACCAUGGAUGCAAAAACAAAAUGUAAUGAUCGCCCUCUGCUGUGAUGGUGUGCAUUUCUUGGCAUCGGGAACCUGCUUUGGAUACAUAGGAGGGGGGGGGGGCGACACUGGGCGGAUGGGGAGACUAUGGUGAGAGGAACGUACAUGCCGGAUGUCGUGGUAUCAAGGGAAGACAACAGUGGCUGCGGCGACGCCAUGGCAAGGAGAACAGGCCGGGGGAAUGAGAAGUGAGUGUGAGUGUUGCGCGGUGUGGUGAUAGAGUGAGAGAGUGAAUUGCUUUUUAAGAUAAGAAGAAAAGGAUUGGAUGUUUUCUUUUUUAUAGGGAAAAUCACCUCUAUGCUAUGAGAGAAAUUUCAUAUUUUUUUAUAUUAGUGAAAAAUAUCACCAACCCAACAAGUCAUUUUGAACAAGGAUUCAAAUGCGACUCACUUUACUAAAAAGCAUAAUGCCACUCACUCCCGACUAAAAAUGAGCACAUGCUUGCAUUUAGCAUACGACCAAUUGUAUAUGGAGCUUUUUUAAUAUAUGUUUAUUGUUCACUUUAGAUCAGAGAUAAAACCUCAUGCCUUCGGAUGAUGCUUUAAAAAUGUCGCUUGACAAAGCUUUAUGAUGGACUAGACUGAAAACUUGUUGAGUUCUACAAAAUGGGAAGAGAUGCAUACAAAUAAUUGUUGUUCUUCGUAUAUAUCUUGCACGUAUUUUUAAAUAUUUUUAGUUUUGGAGAUGAGAGGGAUGGGGAUGGACAAAAGUAAUCCAUUAAAAGGGUGUCGAGGCGAUGUUUGAAGGGACCAAAAUUUCAUAGAGUUUUAUGCAAUAAUACAUGUAUAUAUAUGCAAUAAAACAAAAUUGAAAUGUCCGUGGCAACGCACGGGCAUUCUACUAGUAGUCAUAGUGGGAGUAACUUAUCUACUCCCUCCGGUUUACAAGGCUUAAAUAAAAAAUCUCAUUACCCAAGACAGAUGGUGAGUGAAGGAAUGUAUAUCGUACUUUACAAAGCUACUCAAAUUAAAUGAUGCAUUAAUUUGAAUUAAUUGCAGUGCAUGCAUGAUUGUUUGCUAGAUGAGUAGUAACAUUACAUGCAUUGGUGAGUUCCUUUUUAAUUAUGGCAUGCAAAUAUUCGAUGCGCCUCGGAAUGUCAAUAGGAGACGGAGAUGAGCCCUUUAACUCAGAAAAACGAAAAAAUUUGAGAUAAGCCAUGUAAAACAGAAAGGAGGAAGCAGUAACAUAACACAUCCUAAUAUAAGUUUACUCAUGUGGCAAAUGUUAACAAUAUGUUAUCGUAACAUAACGCAACCCAAGAAAAAUGAGUCUAUAACCUAAUAAAUGCAACCAUCUAUGAUAUUACUUCUAUGAUACUUUACACUACGAAGGUAGUAACACAGAGUAGUGUCAUAUGCAUGACACUGGUCGAUAAUAUUGAACUGAGGGGAUCUCCAAAACCGACCCCUAAAAGUGACGGAACAUACAUAUUGGAAGAAAGAAAGACGAUCUCGCCUCCAGCUGCCAGGGCACUUUCCUCCGCCACCGUCCUCCGAUGGCUCCCCUCUGCCGACGACCUUGGUCGGCGGUGGUGUGGGGGUCACCGGAACCACGCACGUGGAUCGUUUUAGGCAUUAAGUAGCUUAAGUUUUGGGCUAUUCAUCGUCUUGGCUACGACAAUGACGAUGGCAACACCGAAUGAAAAUUCUUCAGAUCCUUCUUGACGAGGCAAUCCACAUGGGGGCUGGAUUUGGAAACCAGUCUAUUCAAGAAAAUGAUGGUGCGACAGCGGCAUCCUUGUGGCGGACCUGUGUCCUCGGACUCCGUCGU